CAGCGGUGGUGAUUUCGGUGGUUUAGGCGGUGCUUUGGGUGGUGAAUGUAUCGACUCCGGCGGAGGAAGUGGUGGUGUUUUGGGGGAGGGUGUAGGAGGAGGCGAUGGAGGAGGAGGCGGUGGAGGAGAAGGAGGAAGAGGCGGCGGUGGAGGAGGGCAUUCUUCAGGUUUUGGUUGCGGUGGAGGAGGGCAUGGAGGAGGAGGUGGAGGAGGGCAUUCUUCAGGUUGUGGUUGCGGUGGAGGAGGCGGUGGAGGAGGGCAUUCUUCAGGUUGUGGAGGCGGUGGCCGUGGAGGAGGCGGUGGAGGAGGGCAUGCUUCAGGUUUUGGUUGCGGUGAAGGUAACGGUGGUGGAAAUCCACCGACACCCCUGCCGGAAAUGAUUUCUAAGGAUUUUCUGUGGAUAAUAUGGUUGUUCCCAGUAGAUAGAGUGCAAUGUAGUUGUAAAAGUGAAAGAAAAAGAAGAAGUAGAG
rnacentral:lncRNA from 1 species